rnacentral:rRNA from 1 species
GACGAACGCUGGCGGCGUGCUUAACACAUGCAAGUCGAACGGAAAGGCCCUGCUUUUGUGGGGUGCUCGAGUGGCGAACGGGUGAGUAACACGUGAGUAACCUGCCCUUGACUUUGGGAUAACUUCAGGAAACUGGGGCUAAUAUCGGAUAGGAGCUCCUGCUGCAUGGGGGGGGUUGGAAAGUUACGGCGUUGGUGGAGGGACUCGCGGCUUAUCAGCUUGUUGGUGGGGUAGUGGCUUACCAAGGGUUUGACGGGUAGCCGGCCUGAGAGGGUGACCGGCCACAUUGGGACUGAGAUACGGACCAGUCUCCUACGGGAGGCAGCAGUGGGGAAUAUUGCACAAUGGGCGGAAGCCUGAUGCAGCAACGCCGCGUGCGGGAUGACGGCCUUCGGGUUGUAAACCGCUUUCGACUGUGACGAAGCGUGAGUGACGGUAAUGGGUAAAGAAGCAACGGCUAACUACGUG